rnacentral:lncRNA from 1 species
GGUCUUUACCAUAGGUUCAGGUCUCUGCGGUGCAUAUUUUGCACCAUAUAAAGUCUUACAACCUUUGAUAGCCGUCAAGUCAUCCGAUCAUAUAGAUGGAAGGCUAUCACAUAAGGUUUUUUGUCAUACACGUACGUACGACGUAUCGCUAUGGGAUGUUUAGCAGUAGUUCUUCGUGAUUGGAUGAUAUGGUGAUCAGCAAAGGUUGUACAAUUUUUUGUUUACAAAAUAUGCAUUAUGGAGGAUUCUGACUCCUAC